GAGAUAGCCAGCACCGAAGCCUAUCCGCGUUGUGGACAGGGCAAUGUGGUGUUUAGGCGUGUGCCUGGGGUGGCUCGUCUAUUCGAAGUCCACUCUGAUUCUGGCAUUGGAUUUGCCCCAGAGAGGGUGUAAGGCCCCUACGAAUAGACAUGCAGCAAUUAUGAGCCGCUCUCAGAAGCACACGUCUUGGAGUCGGAUUGCUUGAGAAUGCAGUCCAAAGUGGGUGGUAAACUCCAUCCAAGGCUAAAUACUGGCACGAGUCCGAUAGUAAACAAGUACCGCGAGGGAAAGUUGAAAAGUACUCUGAAGAGAGAGUAAAUAGUACGUGAAGCCGCCUGUCGAGAAGCUGGUGGAGUCAAGCUCCAUGUCUAGCUGAUUAAUUGCGAGUAGCCUGUUGUGUAUAAGGCCUGGUUGGUGAUUUACCUGCAAAUGGUGAGUCGGUUCGCCGAUUCCAGCUCUCUGGUCCAGUGAGCUUGUGUCAUCAACUCUGGUCUGCUGCUCGCAUCCUAUCACUGGACAGCCAUCACGGUUGAUAGUCUCUUGGUGCCUGGUGGCCAAACCCGCGACUCAGUGGGCUUAUGCUUGCUAGUUGUGGGAUGGCAGGUGGUUGAUGAGUCAGCAAUGUCUCAUCAGCUUAUGCUGUUCUUACAGCUGUCCACCAGGCCUACUCUUACUAUUCAGAGCUAUCAAUGCAUUUCUUGUUUGUGCUCCUCUUGGAGCGCUUUCAGUGAGAGCCGUGGUGUUGGAGUAGAUUUUCCACCCGACCCGUCUUGAAACACGGACCAAGGAGUUUAACAUGUGCGCAAGUCAAUGGGCUUUUCGAAACCCAAUGGCGUAAUGAAAGUGAAUGGUCAGUUUGCUGGCCUGAGGUGUGAUUCUUGGUUACCUUACACGGGUGCCAGGACGCAACACCGGCCCGUCUCAAGAUGUAGUCAUGACUGCGCUAGUGGUUGUGCAUCAUCGAGGCGGAGCUAGAGCGUACAUGUUGAGACCCGAAAGAUGGUGAACUAUGCUUGCGUAGGUCGAAGCCAGAGGAAACUCUGGUGGAGGACCGUCGCGGUUUUGACGUGCAAAUCGAUCGUCAAACGUGUGCAUAGGGGCGAAAGACUAAUCGAACCAUCUGGUAGCUGGUUCCCUCCGAAGUUUCCCUCAGGAUAGCUGGCAAUCACUUCGCUUGAUAGUUUUAUCCGAUAAAGCGAAUGAUUAGAGGUAUUGGGGACUAAUUGUCCUCAACCUAUUCUCAAACUAUAAAUGGGUACGAUGCUGGACUCGCUUAAUUGGAGUUCUAGCAUUGAAUGUGAUUGCCAAGUGGGCCAUUUUUGGUAAGCAGAACUGGCGCUGUGGGAUCUCCGAACGUGCAGUUAAGGUGCCACACACGGACGCUCAUGAGACUCCAAAAAAUAAGUUAAUGCAUGGGGCCUGC
rnacentral:rRNA from 1 species